UACGUAGGGGGCGAGCGUUGUCCGGAUUUACUGGGCGUAAAGGGCGCGUAGGCGGCCUUCUAAGUCAGACGUGAAAUCCCCCGGCUUAACCUGGGAACUGCGUCUGAUACUGGGUGGCUAGAGUGCGGGAGAGGGAUGCGGAAUUCCAGGUGUAGCGGUGAAAUGCGUAGAUAUCUGGAGGAACACCGGUGGCGAAGGCGGCAUCCUGGACCGACACUGACGCUGAGGCGCGAAAGCUAGGGUAGCAAACGGG
rnacentral:rRNA from 1 species